rnacentral:rRNA from 1 species
GACGAACGCUGGCGGCGUGCCUAAUACAUGCAAGUCGAACGCUGAAGGAGGAGCUUGCUUCUCUGGAUGAGUUGCGAACGGGUGAGUAACGCGUAGGUAACCUGCCUGGUAGCGGGGGAUAACUAUUGGAAACGAUAGCUAAUACCGCAUAAGAGUAGAUGUUGCAUGACAUUUGCUUAAAAGGUGCAAUUGCAUCACUACCAGAUGGACCUGCGUUGUAUUAGCUAGUUGGUGAGGUAACGGCUCACCAAGGCGACGAUACAUAGCCGACCUGAGAGGGGGAUCGGCCACACUGGGACUGAGACACGGCCCAGACUCCUACGGGAGGCAGCAGUAGGGAAUCUUCGGCAAUGGACGGAAGUCUGACCGAGCAACGCCGCGUGAGUGAAGAAGGUUUUCGGAUCGUAAAGCUCUGUUGUAAGAGAAGAACGAGUGUGAGAGUGGAAAGUUCACACUGUGACGGUAUCUUACCAGAAAGGGACGGCUAACUACGUG